rnacentral:rRNA from 1 species
AUUGAACGCUGGCGGCAUGCCUUACACAUGCAAGUCGAACGGUAACAGGUCUUCGGAUGCUGACGAGUGGCGAACGGGUGAGUAAUGCAUCGGAACGUGCCUAGUAGUGGGGGAUAACUACUCGAAAGAGUGGCUAAUACCGCAUGAGAUCUACGGAUGAAAGCAGGGGAUCGCAAGACCUUGUGCUACUAGAGCGGCCGAUGGCAGAUUAGGUAGUUGGUGGGAUAAAAGCUUACCAAGCCGACGAUCUGUAGCUGGUCUGAGAGGACGAUCAGCCACAAUGGGACUGAGACACAGCCCAGACUCCGACGGGAGGCAGCAGUGGGGAAUUUUGGACAAUGGGCGAAAGCCUGAUCCAGCAAUGCCGCGUGCAGGAUGAAGGCCUUCGGGUUGUAAACUGCUUUUGUACGGAACGAAAAGCCCCGGGUUAAUACCCUGGGGUCAUGACGGUACCGUAAGAAUAAGCACCGGCUAACUACGUGCCAGCCGCCGCAGUAA